GGAUUAGAUACCCUGGUAGUCCACGCCGUAAACGAUGGGUACUAGUUGGUGCGGGUAUUGACCCCUGCGCUGACGCAGCUAACGCAUUAAGUACCCCGCCUGGGGAGUACGGCCGCAAGGCUAAAACUCAAAGGAAUUGACGGGGGCCCGCACAAGCGGUGGAGCAUGUGGAUUAAUUCGAAGCAACGCGAAGAACCUUACCUAGCCUUGACAUCCUUGGAACUCGCCCGAAAAGGCGAGGUGCUCUUCGGAGAAUCAAGUGACAGGUGCUGCAUGGCUGUCGUCAGCUCGUGUUG
rnacentral:rRNA from 1 species